rnacentral:SRP_RNA from 1 species
GCUGGAUGCGGUGGGUGGUGUGUGCCUGUAGUCCCAGCCACUCAGGAGGCUGAGGCGGGAGGAUCGCCUUAGCCCAGGAGUUCUGGGCUGUAGUGCGCUAUGCUGAUUGGGUGUCCGCACUAAGUUUGGCAUCAAUAUGGUGACCUGGGAGUGGGGGACCACCAGGUUGCCUAAGGAGGGGUGUACCGGCCCAGGUUGCAAACCAAGCAGGUCAAAACUCUCGUUCUGAUCAGUAGUGGGAGCGCGCCUAUGAAUAGACACUGCACUCAGCCUGGGCAACAUAGCCAGACCCCAUCUCA